UGGGGAAUUUUGGGCAAUGGGCGAAACCUGAUCCAGCAAUGCCGCGUGUGUGAAGAAGGCCUUCGGGUUGUAAAGCACUUUUGUCCGGAAAGAAAUCCUUGGCUCUAAUACAGUCGGGGGAUGACGGUACCGGAAGAAUAAGCACCGGCUAACUACGUGCCAGCAGCCGCGGUAAUACGUAGGGUGCAAGCGUUAAUCGGAAUUACUGGGCGUAAAGCGUGCGCAGGCGGUUUGCUAAGACCGAUGUGAAAAUCCCCGGGCUCAACCUGGGAACUGCAUUGGUGACUGGCAGGCUAGAGUAUGGCAGAGGGGGGUAGAAUUCCACGUGUAGCAGUGAAAUGCGUAGAGAUGUGGAGGAAUACCGAUGGCGAAGGCAGCCCCCUGGGCCAAUACUGACGCUCAUGCACGAAAAGCGUGGGGAGCAAAACAGGAUUAGAUACCCUGGUAGUCCACGCCCUAAAACGAUGUCAACUAGUUGUUGGGGAUUCAUUUCCUUAGUAACGUAGCUGACGCGUGAAGUUGACCGCCUGGGGAGUACGGUCGCAAGAUUAAAAACUUAAAUGAAUUGACGGGGUCAUAGCUGUUUCCU
rnacentral:rRNA from 1 species